rnacentral:rRNA from 1 species
ACGCACGCUGGCGGCAUGCCUAACCCAUGCAAGUCGAACGAGACCUUCGGGUCUAGUGGCGCACGGGUGCGUAACGCGUGGGAACCUGCCCUUAGGUUCGGAAUAACUCCCCGAAAGGGGUGCUAAUACCGGAUAAUGUCUUCGGACCAAAGAUUUAUCGCCUUUGGAUGGGCCCGCGUUGGAUUAGCUAGUUGGUAGGGUAAAAGCCUACCAAGGCGACGAUCCAUAGCUGGUCUGAGAGGAUGAUCAGCCACACUGGGACUGAGACACGGCCCAGACUCCUACGGGAGGCAGCAGUGGGGAAUAUUGGACAAUGGGCGAAAGCCUGAUCCAGCAAUGCCGCGUGAGUGAUGAAGGCCUUAGGGUUGUAAAGCUCUUUUACCCGGGAUGAUAAUGACAGUACCGGGAGAAUAAGCUCCGGCUAACUCCGUG